AAAUUGAAGAGUUUGAUCAUGGCUCAGAUUGAACGCUGGCGGCAGGCCUAACACAUGCAAGUCGAACGGUAACAGGAAACAGCUUGCUGUUUCGCUGACGAGUGGCGGACGGGUGAGUAAUGUCUGGGAAACUGCCUGAUGGAGGGGGAUAACUACUGGAAACGGUAGCUAAUACCGCAUAACGUCGCAAGACCAAAGAGGGGGACCUUA
rnacentral:rRNA from 1 species